rnacentral:snoRNA from 1 species
CCUGCCCCUUGAGGUGUUGCAGUCCAACAUUGUGUUGAGCCUGUGUCAUAAGGUGGCAGAGAACAAAAGGUCACCAUCAUCAUUCAAGACCCUCAAUAGAGGGAACUUGUGGUGAUGUGUUUUACCAA